rnacentral:rRNA from 1 species
CUGGAAACAGAUGCUAAUACCGCAUAACAACUUGGACCGCAUGGUCCGAGCUUGAAAGAUGGCUUCGGCUAUCACUUUUGGAUGGUCCCGCGGCGUAUUAGCUAGAUGGUGGGGUAACGGCUCACCAUGGCAAUGAUACGUAGCCGACCUGAGAGGGUAAUCGGCCACAUUGGGACUGAGACACGGCCCAAACUCCUACGGGAGGCAGCAGUAGGGAAUCUUCCACAAUGGACGAAAGUCUGAUGGAGCAACGCCGCGUGAGUGAAGAAGGGUUUCGGCUCGUAAAACUCUGUUGUUAAAGAAGAACAUAUCUGAGAGUAACUGUUCAGGUAUUGACGGUAUUUAACCAGAAAGCCACGGCUAACUACGUGCCAGCAGCCGCGGUAAUACGUAGGUGGCAAGCGUUGUCCGGAUUUAUUGGGCGUAAAGCGAGCGCAGGCGGUUUUUUAAGUCUGAUGUGAAAGC